rnacentral:rRNA from 1 species
UACGUAGGGGGGCAAGCGUUUGUCCGGAAUCAUUGGGCGUAAAGCGCGUGUAGGCGGCUCGAUAAGUCUGUCUGUGAAAGUUCAGGGCUCAACCCUGAAAUGCCGGUGGAAACUGUCGGGCUAGAGUCCGGAAGAGGCGAGUGGAAUUCCGUGGUGUAGCGGUGAAAUGCGCAGAUAAUCAGGAGGAACACCAAUGGCGAAGGGCAGCUCGCU